rnacentral:rRNA from 1 species
UACAGAGGUCUCAAGCGUUGUUCGGAUUCAUUGGGCGUAAAGGGUGCGUAGGCGGCGCGGUAAGUCGGGUGUGAAAUCUCGGAGCUUAACUCUGAAACUGCAUUGGAUACUAUUCGGCUUGAGGUCUGGAGGGGGGACUGGAAUUCUCGGUGUAGCAGUGAAAUGCGUAGAUAUCGAGAGGAACACCAGUGGCGAAGGCGAGUCCCUGGACAGAUCCUGACGCUGAGGCACGAAAGCUAGGGGAGCAAACAGG